rnacentral:lncRNA from 1 species
GAAUGGGCCAAGCUGGUGUGCAGGCCUGUAAUCCCAGCAUUUGGGAGGCUGAGGCAGGAGGAUUGCAAGUUUGAGGCCAGCCUCUGUAAUUUAGCGAGGCCCUAAGCAACUUAGUGAGACCCUGUCUCAAAAGAUAAAAAGGGAUGAAGCUCAGUGGUAAAGUACCCCAGGUUCAAACCUAGUAUAAAAAAACAAAAACAAAUGAAUAGAAUAUUAUUCAGCUAUAAAAAGGAAUGAAGCCUUGACAGGUGAUAGACAUAGAUGAACCGUGAAAGCGUGCCGAGAGAAGCCAGGCACAGAAGACACGUGGGGUAUGAGGUCCUGCGAACUGUCCAGAAUAGGCGGAUCCAGAGAGGUGGAGAGCAGAUCAGUGGUUGCAGUGGACCACCAGGGGCCACUGACGUGGUGAGUUUGUUGUGGAUGGUGAAAAUGUCCUGGAAUCAGUGGUGAUGGUUGCACAAAGUCACAAAUAGACCAAC